rnacentral:rRNA from 1 species
AGAGUUGAUUAUGGCUCAGGAUGAACGCUAGCGGCAGGCUUAACACAUGCAAGUCGAGGGGCAUCGCGGGGUAGCAAUACUCUGGCGGCGACCGGCGAAAGGGUGAGUAACGCGUGAGCAACAUGCCCGGUACUGGGGGAUAGUCAUUGGAAACGAUGCGUAAUACCCCGUAACAACAGAGACCGCAUGAUCUUUGUUUGAGAGAUUCAUUGAUACCGGAUUGGCUCGCGUACCAUUAGCUAGUUGGCGGGGUAACGGCCCACCAAGGCGACGAUGGUUAGGGGUUCUGAGAGGAAGGUCCCCCACAUUGGAACUGAGACACGGUCCAGACUCCUACGGGAGGCAGCAGUGAGGAAUAUUGGACAAUGGCCGGGAGGCUGAUCCAGCCAUGCCGCGUGCCGGGAGGACGGCCCUAUGGGUUGUAAACCGCUUUUGUCAGGGAGCAAUAAGGUCCACGUGUGGUCCGAUGAGAGUACCUGGCGAAUAAGCAUCGGCUAACUCCGUGCCAGCCGCCGC